rnacentral:rRNA from 1 species
AUUGAACGCUGGCGGCAGGCCUAACACAUGCAAGUCGAACGAGUGGCGGACGGGUGAGUAAUGUCUGGGAAACUGCCUGAUGGAGGGGGAUAACUACUGGAAACGGUAGCUAAUACCGCAUACCAUCGGAUGUGCCCAGAUGGGAUUAGCUUGUUGGUGGGGUAACGGCUCACCAAGGCGACGAUCCCUAGCUGGUCUGAGAGGAUGACCAGCCACACUGGAACUGGGACACGGUUCCGAACCCGACGGGAGGUAGGCGUGGGGAAUAUUGUAAAAUGGGGGCAAGCCGUAUGAAGCCAGGCCGCGGGGAUGAAGAAGGGCCUCGGGUUGUAAAGGUACUUCAGCGGGGAGGCGUUACCCGCAGAAGAAGCACCGGCUAACUCCGUGCCCGCCGCCGCGGUAAUUC